UACGUAGGGUGCAAGCGUUAAUCGGAAUUACUGGGCGUAAAGCGUGCGCAGGCGGUUUUGUAAGUCUGUCGUGAAAUCCCCGGGCUCAACCUGGGAAUUGCGAUGGAGACUGCAAGGCUGGAGUCUGGCAGAGGGGGGUAGAAUUCCACGUGUAGCAGUGAAAUGCGUAGAGAUGUGGAGGAAUACCGAUGGCGAAGGCAGCCUCCUGGGCCAACACUGACGCUCAUGCACGAAAGCGUGGGGAGCAAACAGG
rnacentral:rRNA from 1 species